AUUGAACUUUAGGGGUGUUUCCCACAAUGGUGAAACUGAGAAUUACCCUUUGAACUUGAGGCGGAUGAUACCGACGUAAGGAAAAGUGAGCAGCCGUUU
rnacentral:ncRNA from 2 species